UUGCCAGACUCCUACGGGAGGCAGCAGUGAGGAAUAUUGGUCAAUGGGCGGGAGCCUGAACCAGCCAAGCCGCGUGAAGGAAGAAGGCGCCAGGCGUCGUAAACUUCUUUUGUCGGGGAACAAAGGGCGCCACGCGUGGCGUUGUGAGUGUACCCGAAGAAAAAGCAUCGGCUAACUCCGUGCCAGCAGCCGCGGUAAUACGGAGGAUGCGAGCGUUAUCCGGAUUUAUUGGGUUUAAAGGGAGCGUAGAUGGGUUGUUAAGUCAGUUGUGAAAGUUUGCGGCUCAACCGUAAAAUUGCAAUUGAUACUGGCAGUCUUGAGUACAGUUGAGGUAGGCGGAAUUCGUGGUGUAGCGGUGAAAUGCUUAGAUAUCACGAAGAACUCCGAUUGCGAAGGCAGCUUACUAAACUGCCACUGACAUUGAUGCUCGAAAGUGUGGGUAUCAAACAGGAUUAGAUACCCCCGUA
rnacentral:rRNA from 1 species